rnacentral:rRNA from 1 species
UACGUAGGGGGCUAGCGUUGUCCGGAAUCAUUGGGCGUAAAGAGCGUGUAGGCGGCCCGGUAAGUCCGCUGUAAAAGUCAAAGGCUCAACCUUUGAAUGUCAGUGGAUACUGCCGGGCUAGAGUCCGGAAGAGGCGAGUGGAACUCCUGGUGUAGCGGUGGAAUGCGCAGAUAUCAGGAAGAACACCUAUGGCGAAGGCAGCUCUCUGGGACGGUACUGACGCUGAGACGCGAAAGCGUGGGGAGCAAACAGG